UAUGACGAUAAAUAUUUGAUGGACACAAUGAAUUUAAUGCUCACUAUACCGGAAUUUGCAGCAACUGACAAAAUAUAUGAAUGUGUGCUAGUUCAGAGAAAAUUGCAAUCAGAAAUAACAGUUGAAUUAUUUAUUCCUAUACCUGAAGUUCAAGAUAAAUUUGUUCAAAUAUUAAAAUUGAGUGAUCUUGGAAAAAAGAGAAGAACAUUUUCUAAAGCAGCUUUAAAGAAUUUAAUCAUCCGUGCACUAGAUGGAAACAAACCAGAUGUCUCUUUAGUGCAGCUGUGUACCUAUAUUGGAUUGUGGACGAGUACAAAAAUACCAAGCCACUAUAUAAAAGAUGUUUCAAUAGACGGCGAGAAUGGUGUUUGCAUUUUACUAGAUAAAGAUAACUGCGUUAAAAAAUACAGAUCCUUUGAUGGCAUAUAUUAUCAAGUAGACGUCGAUGACAUUGACCAUCGUAUAGUAAAACUUCAAGAACAGUUAUAAUAAUUUAGAUCUAGGUUCAAAAUUAUGGCUCAUCGUAAUUUAUACCAAUAUUAACUAUUAUUUCAACAAUAAUAAACCAAAAUGAAAUGCUGCACAAACUCGAUGAAAAGCAAUAAUGCAGUGGACACUCAGUAUACCAUAACCUAUCGUGUAUCGAAAAACUUAUUUUACAUUAAGCUGAUGUUUUAAAUUAUUCAAUAUAAC